rnacentral:rRNA from 1 species
AGCAUAUCAAUAAGCGGAGGAAAAGAAACCACAGGGAUUGCCCUAGUAACGGCGAAGUGAAGCGGCAACAGCUCAAAUUUGAAAUCUGGCUCUCGGGCCCGAGUUGUAAUUUGUAGAGGAUACUUUUGAUGCGGUGCCUUCCGAGUUCCCUGGAACGGGACGCCAUAGAGGGUGAGAGCCCCGUCUGGUUGGAUGCCAAAUCUCUGUAAAGUUCCUUCAACGAGUCGAGUAGUUUGGGAAUGCUGCUCUAAAUGGGAGGUAUAUGUCUUCUAAAGCUAAAUACCGGCCAGAGACCGAUAGCGCACAAGUAGAGUGAUCGAAAGAUGAAAAGCACUUUGAAAAGAGAGUUAAAAAGUACGUGAAAUUGUUGAAAGGGAAGCGUUUAUGACCAGACUUGGGCUUGGUUAAUCAUCUGGGGUUCUCCCCAGUGCACUUUUCCAGUCCAGGCCAGCAUCAGUUUUCCCCGGGGGAUAAAGGCGGCGGGAAUGUGGCUCUCUUCGGGGAGUGUUAUAGCCCGUCGUGUAAUACCCUGGGGGGGACUGAGGUUCGCGCAUCUGCAAGGAUGCUGGCGUAAUGGUCAUCAACGACCCGUCUUGAAACACGGACCAAGGAGUCGUCUUCGUAUGCGAGUGUUCGGGUGUCAAACCCCUACGCGUAAUGAAAGUGAACGCAGGUGAGAGCUUCGGCGCAUCAUCGACCGAUCCUGAUGUUCUCGGAUGGAUUUGAGUAAGAGCAUACGGGGCCGGACCCGAAAGAAGGUGAACUAUGCCUGUAUAGGGUGAAGCCAGAGGAAACUCUGGUGGAGGCUCGCAGCGGUUCUGACGUGCAAAUCGAUCGUCAAAUAUGGGCAUGGGGGGCGAAAGACUAAUCGAACCUUCUAGUAGCUGGUUUCCGCGA